GCCAGUUUGGGCACACCCAAUCCGUUAAUAGUUCAUUUGUUGUCCGACAGACGAGAGUUGGUAGUAGACGACUAACAAACAUCCGACAGGCUUGUGGAUAAUUCGUGGGAUAGAAACAUGGCGUCGGAAUUCGAAAGCGCAGGCCAAGGGACAAGGAAGACUCUUGAGGUGGCUCUGCUCGGAAUGCUUGGCUCCGUUUUCAUGGUGAUAGUGGUGAUGAUGAUCGGGGCCAGCUAGUAGGACUGGCACGCCACAGGCAAGCAAUUCAGCAAGAUGACACUGUAGGUCGAAGAGGCUGUAGAACUUUCCAUCAGUCCCCGUCUCUGGGUGCAGCUCUUGCGCCAGGCGCUGAACCAGGAACUCCCGACCGCUCAUCCCUCUUCACAACUACUCGACACGACACGUCAAAACAGACAUCAACCAAGGAACUUACGUAUACAAUCCGUUACAACCAAGAUCUGCCGAUGAACAAAAGAAAACUACACUGACUACACAUGUUUUCAUUACUAUAGCUAGGCAGUAACUUUCAUGUGUGUAUGCAAAACAUGUAAAUGUUUGUGGUCGUAUUGAUGUACACAAAUAUGACUGAUACAUGCAGACUUGAACUUUCAGUUGAUGCAUUUUUACAUUUCUGUAUCAUAUUUUCCCUUUGUGUAUGUUUUCUUUUAAUGUAUUCAUAGCGUAUGUUUACCUUUUCUUAUCCAUGCGUAUUUUCAUCGAAGUUACGUCUCGCAGAAUCAAUCUAACUCUGAUCCGCGCCUUCCAGUCACUUUCAUCAAAGAGAGUCAUGAUGGGAAAAACAUGCCCAAAUAUUCGUGCUUGGAUUGAAUUGAAAAUAUGCAUGAAGUAUGGAAAAAUACAUUCAUAGGCUCCGGAAUAAGGUCAUGAUCACAAACGUGAUAUGAUGAUUGCGUUGAUUAAGAAAAUAUACCCAAUAUGGAAACGUUUGAUUAAUGGAUGCAUCCGUUAAGUUCAAUAUGUGUAUUCGCUUACAUCAUGGAAAUGUGUGUACGAGGGUGAGUAAAAAAAUAAUGCUAUCGAUUUUAUAACAGGCGUACUUUUUCGUCGAAUGAGCUGACAUUUGGCAUAACGGUAAAGCAAAUAACUUUAUGAGAUUGAAAUACCUCAAUGUGUGUUCCAGGCUUCUAUGAGUUAAUGACUUCAUUUCAAGAUGACCACACCUUUGGAAAAAAAGCAGUACAAGGGAUUCGGAGGUUCAAUCAACGCGCAAUUAAGAAUAUCCCUGACGCACGUUUAGCUAUUGAGGAGACUGAAAAUAUACAUGUAUCACGCUGCAUUUAUCUAUAAGCCGCAUGCUCAUUUUCAACUCUGAAAUCCGAUCAGGUUGUCUUUUUUUUUCCUUGCUGGAGCAGAGUGAGGUAUGAGUUGAAUUCUGAGCGGUCGUCAGGAGCCAUGAUAUACGCCGUGCUGAUUAAAUGUUUCUAUAGCCUA